ACGCACGCUGGCGGCAUGCCUAACACAUGCAGGUCGAACGAGACCUUCGGGUCUAGUGGCGCACGGGUGCGUAACGCGUGGGAACCUGCCCUUAGGUUCGGAAUAACUCCCCGAAAGGGGUGCUAAUACCGGAUAAUGUCUUCGGACCAAAGAUUUAUCGCCUUUGGAUGGGCCCGCGUUGGAUUAGCUAGUUGGUAGGGUAAAAGCCUACCAAGGCGACGAUCCAUAGCUGGUCUGAGAGGAUGAUCAGCCACACUGGGACUGAGACACGGCCCAGACUCCUACGGGAGGCAGCAGUGGGGAAUAUUGGACAAUGGGCGAAAGCCUGAUCCAGCAAUGCCGCGUGAGUGAUGAAGGCCUUAGGGUUGUAAAGCUCUUUUACCCGGGAUGAUAAUGACAGUACCGGGAGAAUAAGCGCCGACUAACUCCGUG
rnacentral:rRNA from 1 species